ACAUUAGCUCAGUUGCUUAGAGUGUGGUGCUGAUAAUGCCAAGGUCGUGGGUUUUAUCCCCAUAUGGGCCA